CGACCAUUCAUUUCUAUAGCAGUUUUGUCUGCAAAGUUAGUGUGUCAAGCGUUCACUGUGUCAUUUAAAAUUCAUUCUUAAAAAAAAAAAACUGCAGGCAAAGAAAGAAAAAAAAUUUAAUUCUAUUAAUUUGUAAACCGUAACAAAAAAAAAAAACAAAACAAUUUUGAGAGAUUUUUCUUUUGCAGAAAAAGUGAAAUUAAUAAAUUGUGACGCCGUAUUAUAAGGGCAUUUUAUAUGCGCCAUAGAAACAAAAUUCUCUCUGAAAAAAAAUUCAAAUUCUAAUAAGCAUUAUUUAAAUAAUUAUUAUUGUCAGAGAUAAAAAAAAAAACAAAGACAGGAGUCGACAUCUGUGUUCUUAUUACAAAAGCCACUUGAGGAAAUUUUUGUGUCGAUAAAUUGUGGAACAGUUGGCUUUUAAUAUUUUACUAAGAACAUUUAAAAGACUGAAAAUUGAUUAAAGAAAUUUUCAAAUCAAUUAUACAAAGAUGCAUUCUUGGAUUCUUGGACGUUUUUUUUAAAUAUGAAAAAUAAUUUUUGAUUAAAUUAUUAAUAUAAUUUAUUAAAUUUUUCGAUAAAUCGAUGGGAUUCUUAUCAACAUAUAUGUUUAUAUACAAUAUAUAAUAAUUUACGGUUUUUCGGUAAAACGAUGGAAAAUGAUACAAAAGAUUGUUACAAUGGAGAAAAUAAAAAAAAGAAAAUAAUUCUCUAUGAUCAAAAAUGUAAUAACCGUUUUGUUCAAUAUUAUUUUGUGAAAUAUAAAAUGUAUUUAUAAAAA